CUCUAUGUCUCCAACGGUCGCGCGUUUCGGUUCGUUUUGUGCGAAAUUUAAGCAAUAAUCAGCGUGAAUUGUGGCCAGAAAGUUGGACAGCAAUGUCUGCGAUAGCUGGCACCCACGUUCGCCCGAAAAUGUGCGGCUAAAAGCCCCCCGCGAACCGCAAAACAGCGGCGGCGAAACAGCCCAACAAAACCGACUGAAAGAAGCGAGAAGAAGAAGGGAAAAAUUAAACAAGUUUGCGUGGAACGAAAAUUGCGUGAAAAGAAAGCCACGCCGAAAUAAAUGCAAUGUUUAAUGUUUAAACCAACAAAUCGCCAAGGAGUUUUCAGUUCUUUUGAAGUCCUUGUGAGUGGGUGUGCGUGUGUGUGCCGUGCUAGUGUGUGUGUGUGUGCGUGUUGUGAGUGGAGUGGAAAUUAAACGAGAGUGUCUCAGUUGUCUGAGUGCAAAUGAAGUUGGCCAAGCCCAAAACGAGAAUUAAUUAAAGCAACUAAGAAAAGUGCCCGUUUGCAAGGAGGUGGCGGAGUAUUAAAUACACCCAGGAGGGGUAACGAAAACCGAUCGGGGGAGCAGGAGAAAAAAGGACGAGGAGGAGCCAAAAUAUGAGCGAGGAGCUGAAAGUGGUGCUGCGCCGCAGCGAGCAGCACUCCGGAUUCGGGUUUUCGCUGCUCGGAACCACCGGACCGCCACAUGUCAUCUACGACAUCGUCGAGAAUUCGCCGGCAGCCGAUUGCGGAGCGGUUGAGGCCGGGGAUGUCAUCCUUAAAGUCAACGGAACGGAUGUCCAUCGCUACACAACGAAGGAAGUUCUUAAAUGCCUGCGCCUGUCGGAACAGCUGGUGACCUUGGAGCUGAAGCGAGAUCCCAAGCUCAAGGCGCGAAUCAAAGAGCAGCUGGCCAACACCCAGAGUCCGCACUAUGUGGACAUUGAGUCGCCAAAUAUCUACGACUAUCACAGCGGCAGCAACAAUUCCUCGCCAAAUCACCGGUCGCCACACGCCGGUGGCAAGGGGGCGGCGACCACGCCCUCGCAGAGCGGACUGCGCUACAAGUCGCCCACGCACUUGCCCUCGCUGCGCCAAAACUCAUCGCCACUGCUGGCAAGUGGAGCUGCGACCCAGACGAUCCAGACCCAGACCGCCACGCAUACGCACAGCCAAACCCACAGUCGCAACUCUUCGGCCAGCUCCACCAAGAUCAAGGUGGUGGAGACGAGCAUUACCACCUCGGUCACGGGCAUAGUGGGUCCCACGUCGCCCACUGGCGAGGCCACCUCGCCAACCUUCCGCCCCUCUCGCAUUCCACAGGCGCUGACCAAAUGCGCCGUGCCCAAGCCCGUGCCCGUUCUCCAUUCACCCCAGAAUAAGCGGCCACGCCCCUCCCAGAUACCGACAAAGGCGUCGAACGGGAACGGCAACGGACAUUCGGCCCAGCUGCCGCCGCAAUCGCUGCAGCAUUCGAACAGUUACAGCGGCAGUCCGGUGACCAGGCAGCGGUUUACGGAACGGGAUCAGGAGCGAGAACCGGAACCCAACUCGGCGCCACCGCAGCCGGCGAAGGCACCACGCUUUGAGGCUUACAUGAUGACCGGCGACCUGAUCCUCAACCUGUCCCGGACACCACAGACCAGCAAUCCCCUGCCCGCCCAGGCCAAAAAAGUGGACAGUCUCCGGGAUUCACCCAGUCGCCUGGUUAAUUCGCGCAUCAAUGGCGCUCUAGCACCUCGUGCCUCCGGCGAGUCCUCGCCCACUUCCUCCUCCUCGGUGGACUCGCCCACCAACACCAGUUCGGAUUCGGUGAAGCGCGAGGCGAAGCUGCUGAGGAAACAGCAACAACAACAGCAGCAGCAGCAACAACAGCCUCACCAGCAGCAACAACAACAACAGCAGCAGCAGCAGCAGCGGGACAGCAUUAACAAUAGCUACAACCGCAAGGACUCACUGACCAAUGACACACUGCUGAUGUGCGAGGAGCUGGAGCAGGAUGAGGAGGGCGAGUAUGUCCUAGAGGAGGACAACAAUAGGCAGCAGCAACACCGCCAAAAGCAGCAACAUCGCUAUCGCCAGCAGCAGCAGCAGCAGAAUCAGCAACGCUACGAAUACUACCAAAACGAGGAUGAGCUGGAGGAGGAGCAGGUGGAGGUUGAGGAGGAGCGGGAGGAGGAUCAAACGCACUACGACAUCACCAACAUCGAUACCUACCAGAGCGGUCUGGGCCGGGGCGAUGAGGACGACAGCGAUCGGCAGUGCCUGGUGGACGACGACGACGACGAUGAGGAGCCCUACGACGAAGAGGAGAACGAUGCCGGCGACGAGGACUACUCGACCAACUCGUUGGGCUCCGGCUCGGCCAAGCAGAGAUUGCGGGCGCUGAAACAGCGCACCGCCACCCGCCAGCAGCAUCCCCACCACCGAAACCGUGAUGCCGUCGACUGUGCCGGCCGCUCAGGAUCGGGAUCCUCGUCCACCACGGUCAAGAGCGAGGCGGGCGGAGGCCUGGGCCUGGACGAGACCUCCUUCUCAGUGCCAACCUCCCCGAUCUCGCUGUCGACGCCGCUGAUCGACAAGGAGACGGCCAACUCGGUGCCCACCAGCCCGGAGCCCAGCUCCCUGGCGCCGGAAUCGAGCAGUGGUGGAGCUGGUGCCGGAGCGGUGGUGGUGCGCCGCCACAACGGACAUGUGGUGCGGAAGUGCGAUGCCGCCGGCUUCCGCACCAGCAAGUCCGAGGACCAUCUGCAGCAGAUUCAGCGCGAGGGCAUCGCCGCCGUGAUACCCAUCGACAUCGAUGAGGAUGUGAAUAGCUCGCUGAACACUCUGCUGGACACGCGUCAGGACUCCGAGGAUUCGCAGGCAUCGGAUCGCGAUCGGAUCGUUUGGACCUAUAAUGCCCCACUCCAGCCGCACCAGUUGGCGGCCCUCCAGCGACAGCAGCAGCAGCAAGAGCAGCAAUUCCAACAGCAACAGCAGCAACUCCAGCAGCAACAUCAGCAACAGCAGCAGCAACAACAGAAGCAGCAACUCUACGGUCAGCAAUCGCAUUCAAAUUCACAUUCAAGUUCCAUUAGUUCGUCGCCCCAGCACUCGGCUGUGGGCAGUCCGGCCUCGCCCACGUCGGUGUCCUCGUCGGUGAUGUCCUCGUCGGGCUCUAAGGGCGCUUUGGGCCUGGGCAGCAGCAGCAAUGGUCCCAUGGCCGCCAUGCAGCAGCAACAGCAGCAGCGGGAACAGGUUGCCCAACCGCCCAACGGCAUUCCCGGCCUGCUCAGCUGUCCAGGUGGUGGUAGUGGUGUUGGUGGUGGAAGUGGAGGUGUCGGUGUCGGUAGUGGUGGUGGCAACAACGAUCAGAGCGUCUCAGAGGCCAUUUCGAAUAUAUCUAGUCCCGACUACCAAGACGACGAUAACUUAUUGAGUUCUCGCGAUAUUCUAGGCGGCAUGGUACUUAGCGAUCUCAGUGACUCGGACUCCACCAUCCUCGUCUCGGACGCGGCCGCCCUGCAGCGCCAGCAGCUCAAGCAGCAGCUGCGUGCCCAUCAGCAACAGCAGAGGGAUAGGGAACGAGAACAAUCCGAGCACAAGGUGGUCAUCCAAGUGCGCGGCCUGGACAACAGCAACAGCAACAGUGGCGUCGGUGGCGGUGGCCGCUCCGAGGAGGAUGUGGUCACGCUGACGGACGAGCAGCCGCUGGGCACGAUGGCCAUCGGUCUGCGAGACGCCUCGCCGCCCGUCUCCGAUGAUGGCAGCGAUGUGGAGUCGCUGCACUCCUAUCACUACUCUCCCAAGGCUGUGGACAUGCCCUCGGCCAUUCGGCUGGCCAAAAGACUGUACUCCCUCGAUGGUUUCAAGAAGAGCGAUGUGUCGCGACACCUCAGCAAAAACAACGAUUUUAGUCGCGCGGUGGCCGAUGAGUAUCUCAAGCAUUUCACCUUCGAGAAGAAGUCACUCGAUCAGGCGCUGCGCGAAUUCCUGCAGCAAUUCUCGCUGUCCGGCGAAACGCAGGAACGGGAGCGAGUGCUGGUGCACUUUUCCAAGCGCUUCCUCGACUGCAAUCCGGGCACCUUCAACUCGCAGGACGCCGUGCACACGCUGACCUGUGCCAUAAUGCUGCUGAACACGGAUCUGCACGGCCAGAAUAUGAAUCGCAAGAUGAGCUGUGCGGAGUUCGUUGACAACCUGGCAGAUCUCAACGAUGGCGAGAACUUUCCCAAGGAUGUGCUCAAGUCGCUGUACCAGGCCAUUAAAACUAAACCCCUGGAAUGGGCGCUAGAUGAGGAGGCCGGCGAUCUGCAGCAGCAAAGAGCCAACAACAGUGCUUUGGGCAAUGUGGGCCAGAAUCCCUUCCUCGAUCCACCGGAAUUGGCCACAGCUGUGGAGUACAAAAAGGGCUAUGUGAUGCGUAAAUGCUGCUAUGACAGCAGCUUUAAGAAAACUCCUUUUGGCAAACGCUCCUGGAAGAUGUUCUACUGCACGCUGCGUGACCUUGUGCUGUAUCUGCAUAAGGAUGAGCACGGUUUUCGCAAGAGUCAAAUGUCCGACAAUCUGCACAAUGCAAUACGCAUACAUCACGCACUGGCCACCAAGGCCAACGACUACACCAAGAAGCAACAUGUGUUCCGUCUGCAGACGUCCGACCAGGCCGAGUAUCUGUUCCAGACCAGCGACUCCAAGGAGCUGCAAUCGUGGGUGGAGACCAUCAAUUAUGUGUGCGCGGCCAUAUCAGCGCCACCACUCGAGGGCGGCGUGGGCAGCCAGAAGCGGUUCCAGCGACCGCUCCUGCCCAGCAAACAGUCCAAACUGUUGCUGAAGGAGCAGUUGGAGUCGCACGAGGUCCAGUUGGCCCAAUUGGAUCAGGAGCUCAACGAGCACAAGAAGGGUCCGAUACCCAGCAAGGGCUUGCCUCUGCAGAACUACAAGGAGAAGGAGAGCUACUUGCAGUAUGAGCUGCGUCGCUACCGCACCUAUGUGAGCAUCCUGAGCGCCAAGAUGCUGGCGGAUCAGCAGCAGCUGGAGCUGCAGGCCCUGCAGCCGUCGCCGGCGGCGCACGAGGAGGAGGCCGACACAUUCCCAGUGGGCUCCACCACCAGCAUCAGCACCACCACCACCUGCACGCCAACCACGCCGCAAAGUAUUAGCCAGAAGGAGCAGCAGCAGCAGCAGCAACAGCCAGCAAACAGAUGGUUCGAUGUCUUCUGCUGCUGUUGCCCACUCUGGCGGCACUUGAUCCAUUCGAAAAGCCAUUAGCCAACUUAGUCUCUUGCCAACACAGCUCACGAAGCACCACCACUUCUCCCGGAGGCUAGUGAUCCGCUCCAACCAAAAAAAGAGGUGCUCGCUCGUUGUAAAUGCCCCAAACCGUACUUUGACCACCACCUGUCUUAAAUAAAAGAGAAGAAAAAGAAAUAAUUACGUUUUAUUUCCGCUCUUGAUUUCGAUCAUUUUUGAAAACUCGCAUACCAACAAACACACCACUACACACCUUCACCAUCAAUACCCGCCCGCCUCCGCCUGGCCAUCGGGAAGCAGGCGUACGAAUGAAUUUAAAUAGAAUACUCCAAAAUGCCAGGCUGCCGUCGCCGGAAACACAGAAAGAUCCAGAGAUCAGAUCUACAGAUCUACCACACAACAACACCCCACUCGCAUACUCUCAGAACCACUCACCAUUGUCCACCCACUUACACUCAAGCGUUGCGGCUGUGCCGUGUCGUCUGCCACUGAAGAUAUUCGGAAACUGUGCACUUUCAAUUACUUGAACAUCAUUUGAGAUAAUUAGACUACCAACACGAUAAUUAACGAGGGAGACGGGAGUUUUAUGUUUGAAGGUCGUUCAUCAGAAGAUAUCGGGCGAUUAUCUCGGAUUCGAGCAUUCGAUUUUAUAAGUAUCAAGCUUACUUGUCAAAGAGAUGGCUCUCGAAAUCGGAAAUCAGUUUCAUCUGAUUUAUUCGAUUCGAAUUUUGAAUAUUCUGCUGGACGGCUGCUUAGGAACGAGAACGAAAACUGCUUAUACACAUAGACUUAUUAUUACAAAAGUUGAUAAACAAUACUUACAUCAUUACCUAUGCUAUCAUUAUAAAUGAUAAAAAUAAAUUAUAAAUUAUUGAACAAUAUCUCUACGCAAAACAAAAGAUGGAGAACAUCGGCAGUAACAAUAACAAACAGAAUGAGAAAACGAAAGCGAAAGCGAUCACGAGGACAAGAGAGCGUUAGCAUUAACCUAAGCAAUUACUACCAUACCAUGUACGACUUGUUUUUGGUCUUUUGCGAUACAUUAUCACAUUAUCUGUGUAGGUACACUUACUCCAAUAUAUUAUGUACGGAUCCAUAUAUUUAUUUAUACAAUUAUCGGUUGAUUACGCGACAUGUCCAUGUAGCUAGAAUAUGAAAUUGAUAUCGAUUACGGGGUUAAAAGAGAGAAUGAGGAAACAAUAAAUUUAAAUACAUCAUAUAUUUUUGAAUAUAUUAUAAUUAUUGUAUUGUGUAAUUAUGUAAAUGCAGAUCAUAUAACAUUGUUUAUAAUAAUUUUUAACAAUUCUACUGAAACGGCAAUAAAUUCGAAAACAGCAAACAAACAAACUAACUGAAAAGUGAAAGCAACUUCUGCAAGCGCCUAAAUGUAUGCAUAUUGUAUAUUUAUUUAGUCAAACAUUUUAACUGGCUUACUACGAGGGCAUCACUUAGUUUUUAAAGCAAUACCCCCAACCCUUUCGAUAACAAUUCACACGAGCAUUGAUUUUAGAACGUAUGCUGCAAACAAAUGGCGAAAAGGGAAACAAGAUGACGAACUUGAAGACGGUGAUUUUUAUGUGAACAUUUAUUACUAACUGAUAAGCUUUGAGUACAUUUAGGAAAGCCGUUAUACUAUGCAUAUACACAUAUAUAUGAACUAUAUAUAGUAUAUAUGAAUGCUCAUGUGAGCAACCAAACAAUUACGAUAUGAAUCAUUAAAUACUUCCGAAAGCAUUAA